UGUCUUAAGAAAAUUUAUAAUGUUUCAAUAUUUAAAAUGUUUUAUAUCUUUAGGUGAUUUUAAUUUUAUCAAAAUAUGUAACUAAUGAUAUUUUAUUCUCUAAUUUACAAUUUAUUUUAUAAAUAGUUGAAUAUUUCAACAGAGUCAGUAUGAGUCUAUAUAUCUUGAUGACAAAAAAAAUAGUUGAAUAUUUUUAAUAUGUAUUUUAACAAUAUUUUGCAUAAAAUAUAUUUUUAAAAAAUAAUUGCAUAUAUGUCUGAAAAAAUAGGGAAUAUUAAUCAAGAGUGUUGCCUAACAAAAAGUUAGCAGCAUCUACAUAUUGACAAGGCAAAAACGGUACUGGUUGGACAAUAUAUACUCU
rnacentral:lncRNA from 1 species